UCUAUACUGAAUUUGCUGUGAAAAUACAGCGGUAUUUGGUGAAUGCGUUUCAACGUCCUGCCGAAGUGCUCUUCGUUGCCCCUUUCCUCAGUACUCUCUGGAUUUCUCAGCGCCGGUUCCAUAUGGAAUUUGAAGGUCCCGUGAGGGCAAAUUACAGAAAGACAGGAAAGAUCAAUGUCCGAUACUAAAACUGGCCACGUUAAGUGGUUUAACGAGUCCAAAGGCUUUGGUUUCAUCGCUCAGGACGGUGGCAGUGACGUGUUUGUUCACUACAGUGCAAUCAACUCAAGCGGUUUCCGUACCCUGACCGAAGGCCAGCAGGUACAGUUCACCGUUACCCAGGGCCCGAAAGGCCCCCAGGCGGAAAACGUAACCCCGGUCUGAGGGUUCACGCUCCGUCCUUUGCCCCUCACGGGCAUCGGAAAAUCAACAAGCCGGCAUCCGUGCCGGCUUGUGUCG
rnacentral:sRNA from 1 species